rnacentral:lncRNA from 1 species
AAAAAUAACAUAAAAUAAAGUAUUAUAAAUUUAAAAAUGAGUCAGGUCGAGCGAGACUAAAGCCUUGAUGGUUCAAACUUAAGUUCCACUUAUAUUUUAUAUGGGCCUAAUUUUUUUACUCAAAACUAAUUUUUCAAGCCUAAUAUUUUUAUCCAAACCCCUCAUAUUUCAGGUGAACGUUUGGAUUUAGACAAAUAACCCAACCCAUAAACAAGUCUAAAUAGUAGUUGUAGAGCCCAAUUUUAGCCCGGGCCAAAAACAAAACCAAAUAAAAAACAAAGUCCAAAAUAACUAAAUUAGUCCAAAAUUACAGCCCAAAUUAAAUACCCAAACUAAAGACCUAGGCCCAAAAUCCUAGCCCACCUAGCACUAACCCACAACCAGUAAAAACAGAAAACCCUAGGUGCGCCGCACCUAGGUUGGUUGCCCACCCCUCCAUCGAGCGCCGCACGCCCCAUGCACGACCCCCAGCUCGCGUGUUGCACACCCCACGUCCGUGCAUUCCUCCUCCACAUCUUCACGAUACCUGCGACUUGAGCAAGAAAAUAGCAAGAGACUAGUUGUAUUCAGCUAUAAAGCCCUCAAAUUUUGAUUGUUUUGGGGACCUUUUUUUCUUUUUUUUUUCCAGAGAGAUAGAAUAAAGAUAUAAAGAAAUCAACAAAUAUACAGAAAUCAACAAGAAACAGUCAGAAGAAUACAUUUUAAAGGUGGUUUACCGCCCUUUUUUUCGAUUUUUUUUCCUUACUUAUUUUCAUUUGAAUCCACAAUACAAAUACAAAAUAUAAGAGAGAGAGGAAGGGUCUCACCGGAGUCGUCUUGAGUUCACAUCGAUGGAGUACUCCAUUGGUCGCAAUUGGAUUUUGGGGCGGUUGAGGGCUUGGAUAUUAGCCUUUUGGCUGGAAAACAAGGGGAAAGUGCGUGAGUUAAGAGAAAAGAAGAUGAUUUUAGGGUUUUUUAUUUUUUUUAAAAAACAAGUGACCAAAUGAAUUUUUGU